CAGACAUGCAGCGGCGGAGGCCGGGCGCGCCCCUGGGCCUCGCCCCCGCGCGGGGGCUCUGAGCGCCGGCCGUCCCCAUGACUGCGCCCUGGCGCCGAGACUCGCCGCGCUGAGCCGCCUCGGGACGGAGCCAUGCGGCGCUGGGCCUGGGCCGCGGUCGUGGUCCUCCUCGGGCCGCAGCUCGUGCUCCUCGGGGGCGUCGGGGCCCGGCGGGAGGCACAGAGGACGCAGCAGCCUGGCCAGCGCGCAGAUCCCCCCAACGCCACCGCCAGCGCGUCCUCCCGCGAGGGGCUGCCCGAGGCCCCCAAGCCAUCCCAGGCCUCAGGACCUGAGUUCUCCGACGCCCACAUGACAUGGCUGAACUUUGUCCGGCGGCCGGACAACGGCGCCUUAAGGAAGCGGUGCGGAAGCAGGGACAAGAAGCCGCGGGAUCUCUUCGGUCCCCCAGGACCUCCAGGUGCAGAAGUGACCGCGGAGAUUCUGCUUCACGAGUUUCAGGAGCUGCUGAAAGAGGCCACGGAGCGUCGGUUCUCAGGGCUUCUGGACCCGCUGCUGCCCCAGGGGCCGGGCCUGCGGCUGGUGGGCGAGGCCUUUCACUGCCGGCUGCAGGGCCCCCGCCGGGUGGACAAGCGGACGCUGGUGGAGCUGCAUGGUUUCCAGGCUGUGAGUGGAGCCAGGAGCUUAGAGCGGGGCGUUGGGUGGGGCCCCACAGGCAAGACGGAACCACACACACCGCCUGACACUCAUGGGGCAGCACGUGGGUUGGGGGUUGGGGGCGGGGCUAGGAGGGCGAGGGGCUGCCUCGGGUCAGGGUUGGGAGGCCCUGGGGGCCCAGAUCACACUUUAUGCCCAGACGGAGCGUGGGUCCCCGGUAGCCGGGAGGCAGGGAGACCCUCCUGGGUGUGGACUCGAGGGUCAGUCCUGCUGGUGCCCACAGUGAGCGUGAGGGUCCCGGGAGACCUGCUCCGAGUGAGGGGCUGUCGGUUGCAGGCACCUUCCCCAGGCGGGGUCUGUGGGGUGGGGGCCAGGCCCUGUGCUGGCCGCUCACCCACUGCCCCUCACAGCCUGCUGCCCAAGGUGCCUUCCUGCGAGGCUCCGGUCUGAGCCUGGCCUCGGGUCGGUUCACGGCCCCCGUGUCCGGUAUCUUCCAGUUCUCUGCCAGUCUGCACGUGGACCACAGUGAGCUGCAGGGCAAGGCCCGGCUGCGGGCCCGGGACGUGGUGCGUGUUCUCAUCUGUAUUGAGUCCCUGUGCCAGCGCCAC